rnacentral:rRNA from 1 species
UACGGGGGGAGCAAGCGUUGUUCGGAUUUACUGGGCGUAAAGGGCGCGUAGGCGGUCAGCACAAGUCAGUUGUGAAAUCUCCGGGCUUAACUCGGAAAGGUCAGCUGAUACUGUGCGACUAGAGUGCAGAAGGGGCAACUGGAAUUCUCGGUGUAGCGGUGAAAUGCGUAGAGAUCGGGAAGAACAUCGGUGGCGAAAGCGCUCUGCUGGACUGCAACUGACGCUCAGGGACGAAAGCUAGGGGAGCGAAUGGG